UACGUAGGGUGCAAGCGUUGUCCGGAAUUAUUGGGCGUAAAGAGCUCGUAGGCGGUUUGUCGCGUCGACUGUGAAAACCCGAGGCUUAACCUCGGGCCUGCAGUCGAUACGGGCAGACUAGAGUUCGGUAGGGGAGACUGGAAUUCCUGGUGUAGCGGUGAAAUGCGCAGAUAUCAGGAGGAACACCAGUGGCGAAGGCGAGUCCCUGGACAACACCUGACACUGAGGCACGAAAGCUAGGGGAGCAAACAGG
rnacentral:rRNA from 1 species